ensembl:rRNA predicted gene, 27783
CUGGCAAUGCCACCCUGGAUGUACCUUGCCUUGGAAGCUAAGCAGGGUUGAGCCUGGUUAGUACUUGGAUGAGAGGCCUUUAGUAGUACUACGACACUGGCUAAC